GUGUUCGGAUGGCGUAGUGAUCAGCGCACCUGCCUAGUAAGCAGGAGACAUGGGUUCGAAUCCCAAUCCUGCACA